rnacentral:rRNA from 1 species
UACGGAGGGUGCAAGCGUUGUUCGGAAUCACUGGGCGUAAAGCGCGUCUAGGCGGAUUGACAAGUCAGUCGUGAAAGCCCUUGGCUCAACCAAGGAUGUGCGAUUGAUACUGUCUGUCUUGAGUGGUGGAGAGAGGGACGGAAUUCCGGGUGUAGCAGUGAAAUGCGUAGAUAUCCGGAGGAACACCGGCGGCGAAAGCGGUUCCUUGGCCACUAACUGACGCUAAAGCGCGAAAGCGUGGGUAGCAAACAGG